CCUACGGGUGGCAGCAGUGAGGAAUAUUGGUCAAUGGGCGGAAGCCUGAACCAGCCAAGUAGCGUGCAGGAUGACGGCCCUACGGGUUGUAAACUGCUUUUAUACGGGAAUAACGCGCCUUACGUGUAGGGCUUUGCAUGUACCGUAUGAAUAAGGACCGGCUAAUUCCGUGCCAGCAGCCGCGGUAAUACGGAAGGUCCGGGCGUUAUCCGGAUUUAUUGGGUUUAAAGGGUGCGUAGGCGGAAUAUCAAGGCAGCGGUAAAAGUUCGGGGCUCAACCCCGGCGUGCCGGUGAAACUGGCGUUCUUGAGUGCGCGGAAAGUAUGCGGAAUGCGUGGUGUAGCGGUGAAAUGCUUAGAUAUCACGAAGAACCCCGAUUGCGAAGGCAGCUUGCCGGCGCCGAACUGACGCUGAAGCACGAAAGCGUGGGUAUCGAACAGGAUUAGAUACCCGGGUAGUC
rnacentral:rRNA from 1 species